GGAUGAACGCUAGCGGCAGGCUUAACACAUGCAAGUCGAGGGGCAGCGCGAUGUAGCAAUACAUUGGCGGCGACCGGCGCACGGGUGCGUAACACGUAUGGAACCUGCCCUUUACUGGGGGAUAACCCGGAGAAAUCCGGACUAAUACCCCAUAACAGACGAGGCGGCAUCGCCUUGUCUUGAAAGCUCCGGCGGUAAAGGAUGGCCAUGCGCCCGAUUAGCUAGUUGGUGAGGUAAUGGCUCACCAAGGCGACGAUCGGUAGGGGGCCUGAGAGGGUUAUCCCCCACACUGGUACUGAGACACGGACCAGACUCCUACGGGAGGCAGCAGUGAGGAAUAUUGCGCAAUGGAGGCAACUCUGACGCAGCCAUGCCGCGUGCAGGAAGAAGGCGCUACGCGUUGUAAACUGCUUUUAUCCGGGAAGAAACCCCAGGACGUGUCCUGGGUUGACGGUACCGGAGGAAUAAGCACCGGCUAACUUCGUGCCAGCAGCCGCGGUAAUACGAAGGGUGCAAGCGUUAUCCGGAUUCAUUGGGUUUAAAGGGUGCGUAGGCGGGACAGCAAGUCAGCGGUGAAAUCCCGUGGCUUAACCACGGAAUUGCCGUUGAUACUGCUGUUCUUGAGUACGCUUGACGUGGGCGGAAUGUGCCGUGUAGCGGUGAAAUGCUUAGAUAUGGCACAGAACACCGAUAGUGAAGACAGCUCACGAAGGCGAAACUGACGCUGAGGCACGAAAGCGUGGGGAUCAAACAGGAUUAGAUACCCUGGUAGUCCACGCCGUAAACGAUGAUCACUCGUGGUUGGCGAUAUACGGCCAGUCACCUAGCGAAAGCGUUAAGUGAUCCACCUGGGGAGUACGAUCGCAAGAUUGAAACUCAAGGGAAUUUGACGGGGGCCCGCACAAGCGGUGGAGCAUGUGGUUUAAUUUCGAUGAUACGCGAGGACCUUACCAGGGCUGACGUGCAUUGACAGGGGCGGAAACGUC
rnacentral:rRNA from 1 species